GCCGGGCGUGGCGGCUCACGCCUGUAAUCCCAAAACCUGGGAGGCCGAGGCAGGCCGAUCACUUGAGGUCAGGAGUUCGAGACCAGCCUGGCCAACAUGGUGAAACCCUGUCUCUA
rfam:Pan troglodytes isolate Yerkes chimp pedigree #C0471 (Clint) chromosome 16, whole genome shotgun sequence.